GGAGAGGUGCCAGAGUGGCCGAAUGGGGCGCCCUGCUAAGGCGUUGUCCGUCUUAAAGCGGACCGUGGGUUCAAAUCCCACCCUCUCCGCCA
rnacentral:tRNA from 4 species